rnacentral:rRNA from 1 species
GAUGAACGCUGGCGGCGUGCUUAACACAUGCAAGUCGAACGAAGCACUUUACCUGAUUUCCUUCGGGGAUGAUUGUUCUGUGACUGAGUGGCGGACGGGUGAGUAACGCGUGGAUAACCUGCCUCACACAGGGGGAUAACAGUUGGAAACGACUGCUAAUACCGCAUAAGCGCACAGCACCGCAUGGUGCAGUGUGAAAAACUCCGGUGGUGUGAGAUGGAUCCGCGUCUGAUUAGCUAGUUGGCGGGGUAACGGCCCACCAAGGCGACGAUCAGUAGCCGGCCUGAGAGGGCGACCGGCCACAUUGGGACUGAGACACGGCCCAGACUCCUACGGGAGGCAGCAGUGGGGAAUAUUGCACAAUGGGGGAAACCCUGAUGCAGCGACGCCGCGUGAGCGAUGAAGUAUUUCGGUAUGUAAAGCUCUAUCAGCAGGGAAGAUAA